GUUGAAACGUGUAGAAGAUAUUAGUAAACGGUAUUCGCUCAUUGUAUAUAUAAUAGUAAGUAUCUUCCAUUUAUCCGGUCAACCGAUGAGCACCGUGUCGUCACAGGAGAAACCGUGGCCGAUCAUAUGUGAACGACGUUGCAGUCAAAGUGUUAAAGUGGUAAUGGCGCUAAAUUGAUAUUCCUAAUUGAUAAUCACUCUUAAUAAUGAGUAAUAUCGAAACUUACUUUUCAAAGAGAUUAUAUAGUUGAUUUUAUUAUAUCUUGAAAUAUAUUGCCAAGCU